CCCUUAGAUGUCCUGGGCCGCACGCGCGCUACACUGAUGCAUGCAACGAGUUUAUAACCUUGGCCUGAAAGGUCUGGGUAAUCUUUUGAACGUGCAUCGUGAUAGGGAUGGAUUAUUGCAAUUGUUAAUCUUGAACGAGGAAUUCCUAGUAAACGCGAGUCAUCAGCUCGCAUUGAUUACGUCCCUGCCCUUUGUACACACCGCCCGUCGCACCUACCGAUUGAAUGGUUCGGUGAAGAUCUCGGACUUCGAUAUUUAUUCUUUAUUGAGUUUAUAUUGUGGGAAGUUAUCUAAACCUCAUCAUUUAGAGGAAGGUGAAGUCGUAACA
rnacentral:rRNA from 1 species